GAUUGAACGCUGGCGGCAGGCCUAACACAUGCAAGUCGAGCGGUAGCACAGAGAGCUUGCUCUCGGGUGACGAGCGGCGGACGGGUGAGUAAUGUCUGGGAAACUGCCUGAUGGAGGGGGAUAACUACUGGAAACGGUAGCUAAUACCGCAUAACGUCGCAAGACCAAAGUGGGGGACCUUCGGGCCUCAUGCCAUCAGAUGUGCCCAGAUGGGAUUAGCUAGUAGGUGGGGUAACGGCUCACCUAGGCGACGAUCCCUAGCUGGUCUGAGAGGAUGACCAGCCACACUGGAACUGAGACACGGUCCAGACUCCUACGGGAGGCAGCAGUGGGGAAUAUUGCACAAUGGGCGCAAGCCUGAUGCAGCCAUGCCGCGUGUGUGAAGAAGGCCUUCGGGUUGUAAAGCACUUUCAGCGGGGAGGAAGGCGGUGAGGUUAAUAACCUCACCGAUUGACGUUACCCGCAGAAGAAGCACCGGCUAACUCCGUGCCAGCAGCCGCGGUAAUACGGAGGGUGCAAGCGUUAAUCGGAAUUACUGGGCGUAAAGCGCACGCAGGCGGUCUGUCAAGUCGGAUGUGAAAUCCCCGGGCUCAACCUGGGAACUGCAUUCGAAACUGGCAGGCUAGAGUCUUGUAGAGGGGGGUAGAAUUCCAGGUGUAGCGGUGAAAUGCGUAGAGAUCUGGAGGAAUACCGGUGGCGAAGGCGGCCCCCUGGACAAAGACUGACGCUCAGGUGCGAAAGCGUGGGGAGCAAACAGGAUUAGAUACCCUGGUAGUCCACGCUGUAAACGGUGUCGAUUUGGAGGUUGUGCCCUUGAGGCGUGGCUUCCGGAGCUAACGCGUUAAAUCGACCGCCUGGGGAGUACGGCCGCAAGGUUAAAACUCAAAUGAAUUGACGGGGGCCCGCACAAGCGGUGGAGCAUGUGGUUUAAUUCGAUGCAACGCGAAGAACCUUACCUGGUCUUGACAUCCACAGAACUUAGCAGAGAUGCUUUGGUGCCUUCGGGAACUGUGAGACAGGUGCUGCAUGGCUGUCGUCAGCUCGUGUUGUGAAAUGUUGGGUUAAGUCCCGCAACGAGCGCAACCCUUAUCCUUUGUUGCCAGCGGUUAGGCCGGGAACUCAAAGGAGACUGCCAGUGAUAAACUGGAGGAAGGUGGGGAUGACGUCAAGUCAUCAUGGCCCUUACGACCAGGGCUACACACGUGCUACAAUGGCAUAUACAAAGAGAAGCGACCUCGCGAGAGCAAGCGGACCUCAUAAAGUAUGUCGUAGUCCGGAUUGGAGUCUGCAACUCGACUCCAUGAAGUCGGAAUCGCUAGUAAUCGUAGAUCAGAAUGCUACGGUGAAUACGUUCCCGGGCCUUGUACACACCGCCCGUCACACCAUGGGAGUGGGUUGCAAAAGAAGUAGGUAGCUUAACCUUCNGGGAGGGCGCUUACCACUUUGUGAUUCAUGACUGGGGUGAAGUCGAACAAGGUAACC
rnacentral:rRNA from 1 species